UACCUCAGGACUGACAGAGGAUCAGGACUCCUAUCCAUGACUGACAGAGAUUCCUAGGGCUUUGUUGUCAGUGAAGGACACGACUUCCCUUGGGACAAACAACUGACAGAAGAAAUAACUUUUCAGUCUGAAUCCAGUAACCUUCUGGCCAGAUUGAAGACGACCUGUUUGGCAGGAUUUUUAAAGAGAGAUUUUCUCUUUGAUUUGCCCACAUCCUCCUGAUGCUGAAGUAUCCAAAAGAGAGGAGAGGAAAGUGAUUGCAGAAGCAAGAUAAACUUGGAACGUAGGAAGCUGCGGUUGAAUUAUUUUAUGGGUGUGAACACAGGCUCAGAGAAGCCCUGCUGUCACUGCAGCACGCUUAUUUUGAAGAUAAGUGUGAAUCAGCAUGCUGUUCUUAUAGGCAAAGAAGUAGCAGCAAGAAAUCUCAGACUAUGCAAGAGGAUCAUGACCUGGCAAUCAGAGGAUUUCUGCACUGAUCCAAGCCAGAAAAAAUGCUACUUUGCUUGGUGGACACUUCCCAUGGAUUUCUUACACAUCCACAUCCAAGGAGUGGAUGUAUCUGUCACGCACACCAAGCUGCUAACACCCGUGUGGUCUUGGUAGGAAAAUGCAAAGGAAAUCCAAAAGUGCUGGCCUUGACUCCCUUCCUCACUGUCCUUCCAUACCUGCUCUGCCUUGGCUUUGUGCCCUGCUCCCUCCCUAGCGCUCUUAUCUCCCACUGAACCUGAGAAACAAAUGCUUGUGGAAGCUAAGUCGUCCCCAGCUGUUCGCUCUGUUCCUGAGCUCCCUUCCUCCCUCUCAUUCCUUUUGGAUCUGUUUCUAAACUUUUUGGGGCAGCAACUACUUUUCUGCAUGCAACAUCAAUGGACACUGUUCUUGGCUGGCCUCAAGGCACAACUGGAAUAAAUGUGAAUAACAACAACAGUGACAAAAAGUAUCAACAUUGGUAAUGACAGUAAUAAUUAUUAUUGUUAUUAUUAUACAGUCAACCAGACUGACUUGGUAAUUAUUUGCAUAAUUUGUAUAUAUAAUUUGCAUAAGCAGAA